UUCCAAGCAGCAGAUUUCCCUGGCACUGGCGCCGUCUUUCUUUGAGUAGCUUCCCAAACAAACUCAAACAAAGUUAAAAGCCAUCUGAUUCAAUUUUUUUUUCCCUUGAGGAAAGAAAGUCUGAAACAGGAAUGGGAUUCAGGUUCCAAAAUCUAAAUCCCAUGUACAGAUCCUACCUCUCAAGAGUCUCUUCACUCAAAAAUCUCCACCCCAACCCCAUUAUGAUCCAGUCCCUCAUUCCCCGUUUCCAAGGUUACCCUCUCCCUGUCUUCUCUGAUAACCCCAAUUACAACAUCACCAGACGGUGGCAUUUAGGUCAUUCUCAUGAUCACCACCAUAAUGUAACCAAGGAAGGAGAAAAGGUAUUCCGGUUGGGUCUGGGAGCGGAUGUCUGUUUAGCUACCGGUAAAGCUUUAACUGGGUAUAUAUCUGGAAGCACCGCCAUCAUUGCCGAUGCCGUCCAUUCAAUUUCUGACGUGGUUCUAAGUGGGGUUGCUUUAUGGUCAUUCAAAGCUGCGAAGGCUCCCAAAGACAAAAAACACCCAUAUGGACGUGGUAAGUUUGAAACCCUUGGAGCCCUGGGAAUUUCUUGUAUGCUUUUGGCAUCUGCUGGUGGUAUUACAUGGCAUGCUUUGGAGCUCCUAAUUGGGUUGUUGUCCACUGCUCCUGACGUAGUUAAUAAUCAUUCAUGGGCUCACGGGCAUAGCCAUCAUCAUGGUGGACAUCAUCAUGGAAUUGAUAUGGAUCACCCUACACUAGCUUUGAGCAUGACCAUUGUAGCAAUAUGUGUUAAAGAAGGACUUUACUGGAUAACAAAAAGAGCUGGGGAAAGGCAAGGCAGUGGACUGAUGAAAGCAAAUGCAUGGCAUCACCGUUCAGAUGCAAUUUCUUCUGUAGUUGCACUUAUUGGUGUUGGAGGCUCUAUUGUUGGAGUAAAGUUUUUAGAUCCUCUUGCUGGACUGCUCGUCUCAGGAAUGAUUCUAAAAGCUGGACUGCAAACCGGAUACCAGAGUGUCCUUGAACUUGCUGAUGCUGCAGUUCCUGCAGAACAGUUGGAGCCCAUAAAUCAAACAAUUCUACAAGUUGAAGGAGUCAAGGGAUGCCAUCGUUUGAGAGGAAGGAGAGCUGGUUCAAAUCUGUACCUUGAUGUACAUAUUGUGGUCAAUCCCUUUUCUAGUGUUAGUGCUGCACAUGGCAUUGGUGAAAAUGUUCGUCAUCAAAUUCAUAAAUCCCACCCUGAAGUGACUGAAGUUUUCAUACACAUAGAUCCGGCAUAUGUAGAAUUCUCCCCUGAUGUAAUGGACCAGAAAGAAAGUUUGACAAGAAUCAUGGAACAAAAUAGUAAUAUUUCUAUGAGAGAGGAAAAUGUUGAAGCAAUUGUUUCUCGCAUAUUUUCAUCAAAGUUUCCAGAGAAAUUUGUGGUUGAACGCGCAACCCGUCACAUGUUGCAAGGGAAGAUAUUAGUCGAAGUUGAGGUUAGCAUGCCCCCGGAGAUGAUGAUUCGUGAUGCUAUGGAAGCGGCAAAGAAAGCAGAAAAGGAGAUAUUGAAUGCAGCAGCUUCAAACAUUGUUCAUGUCAAUGUUCAGCUAAGACUGGGACGUCCAAUUCCACAGUUCAAGUAUAUAUAAGCAAAGCUUCAAUUAUUCGAGAAGCCAGAUGCUUCUGGGUCAUAUAGUGUUUCCAGUACCAAGAAAUUUGAUUGUAUCUUUUUGACAAUAGGACUAAGCUUUAUUCAAGUCUACAUACAUCAAGAGAAAAGAAGGGAUAGGGAGCCAAGCCAGAUGAUACAGACAAUUGGAGUCUGAUUCUUUUAGUCUGACAUUUAUGUUUUUCAGAAAAAGAUAUUAUCAUCUCAAUGGCUCUGAAUCCGACUUUUUUUUUCUUAAUUGAAAAAAGAAAAAAUCAAAAGGAAUGGAGAGAAGAAGGCUCAGAAGGAUCCAUUGGUGAUUUUGUAAUCACAAAGGGCGAAUAACCCCUUCAUAAAAUAGGUAGUUUUUAACAUCAUCGCCCACCCUCUUUUAUCAUUGAAAAUUAAAUUAAACAAAAAAAAAUUGCUGAGCAUCUAAGAGGAAGAGGGAAAACUGACAUGAAACAGAAAAGGAAGCGAAUCCAUAGCAUUGGCUUCGGCGUCGGAGUUGGCAGUCACGAAUUGCUAUCGCCUCCCUAGUUAAAUAGAAAAAUCUAUAUUGGGGUUAGGGUCAGUGAGAGGAGAGAAGGGACAAGGCUUAUUACGAGUCUACCCCUAACCAAUGUUUACCAGACGAGGCAGAUAGAUAAUUUGAAUUUGGGCCUUGAAGGAUACCUUUGCGAAAUUAUGGGCUCUGGCUUAAUCUUUGUCUAAGUCCACUUGUUUUCAACAAGUCUCUCAUUCGGCCGGAGUUUAUUAUUCACGUGUUUUGCUUUUGGUUCAAAAUAAAACGAGUUUCGUGUUUGUUGUUUGUUUCAACUUUGAAGAGAAACGAGUCUUGGGGCCU